UCACUCAUCCUUUUCUUCAUCUCUACGAAACAAUAUGAAACUAACCAAAUCCAUCAGGAUAUAGAUAGAUGUCAUAUGAGGAUGGCAAUGUCAGAAUUGCUUCUGCAUAUCCAUAAAGCCAUUCCUUUCUCCACUCCCUCUCCCAUCCUUUUUCCCCAUUAUAUAAAUUCUUCCCACAUUCUGAUUCCCUUUCCCAAAUCAUUUCUCUAACUAACAAAACUAAUCACCAACUUCCACCAUUUCCAAACAUUUGUUCGUCUUUCCCAUGUCUUUGACCCCACCCCAAUCUACAACCAACAACCGCCAUACCACAACCUUCCAGCUCUACUGGUGCCACCAAUGCCACCGCACCGUUACCCUCGCCUCAGCACACCCUUCGGAGCUCACCUGCCCACGCUGUUUUGGGCAGUUCAUUGAAGAGGUGCAACUCACACUCCCUGAAUUUAAUCCCUCGCCAGAGGGUCGUUUAUUUGAAGCCCUCUCACUAAUGCUCAACCAGCCGAUUCGUAUCUUCAAUAACAGAACCCCAAAUGGGAACCGCCACCAUCCACCAUGGCACAGGUUCGAGGAAUUUGAUCGGAGAUCGUUUAGUGAUCCUGAAGGAGAUGAAUUGCCUCAAUGGCGAAGACGAUGGCGUAGUCGAAGUCUGGACGAGAGGGACAACUUUGGCCAACAACCUCCAAAUCCAAAUCGGUCUCGUACUGUUAUCGUUUUUGGUCCCCCUGACCAACUUCAGCCAAUCCAGCCGAUAUUACCACGGAGGAUCAGUCCAAGAGACUACUUCACUGGACCACAACUAGAUGAGUUAAUUGAAGAGCUGACGCAGAACGACCGACCAGGACCGGCACCGGCAAGCGAGGAGGCAAUCGAGAGAAUUCCAACGGUGAAAAUAGAAGCAGAGCAUCUGAAGAACGAGUCGCACUGCCCAGUUUGUAAGGAGGAGUUUGAAGUGGGGGGAGAAGCAAGGGAGUUAAGUUGUAAGCAUAUAUACCAUUCGGAGUGCAUAGUACCAUGGCUUCGGCUUCAUAACAGUUGCCCGGUUUGUAGGCAAGAGAUGCCGUCAUUUACACCGGAGAAUGAAGCGUCGAGUAGUUCUGAAGAGGAAGGGAUGGGGAGAAGAUGUGCCAGAUGGUGGAGUCACCUGGUGCCUUGGCCAUUUCGGAAUAGGUAUAGGCAGAUUAGUCCAUUUCCACGGAACCGCUUCGAUGCUUCUUCUCGAGAAAUUAAUUCAAGGGGUGGUUCAUCCUACCUCUCUUCCUCAGCCCUUCUAAUGUCGAUGUUUAUGCUGCAAUUAACUUGGAUUAUACUUGAAACUUUUCGCUAGGAAUGUAAAAUACAUGUGGGCGUGUACGAAGACACUGUUAAGGAAAAACGUAUUCAUUAGAUUCAUUACCAUGGUACACAUUUGGAUUGAGAUUGUCCUAAGAGAUCAGUCUCCAACGUAUAUCAUUUCGAUUGUGUUAGUUUGAAGCAUCUUUCAUGUUCUAAACUAAAACAUCUUUCUGAAACCCAUGCCCAUUACACUGGCAGGAUGCUCUCAUUUCUACCCAAUUUAUAAUAUCUAAAUAAUCUACAAUAAGCACAAAAAAACAUGCAAGUGCAACACAAACAAUGAAUACCAAAAUUACCAAAGAAUUCCUAUGUAAAUGAUACAAGGUAAGCGUUAUUUUCACUACCAUAAAUGCAUUUGUAUUUUUCUUUUAA